rnacentral:tRNA from 1 species
GGGCCCGUAGCUCAGCGGCAGAGCACGCGGCUCAUAACCGCUUGGUCGCAGGUUCGAAUCCUGCCGGGCCCACUA